UCUCUCUCUCUCUCUCUGCUCCACCAUUUCUGCCACGUGAGACCCCUGGGUCACUGAUGUUACCACCAAGACCCUCAAUAGAUGUGUGUUCCCUGGACUUUGGAAUUCCUCACCUCCAAAACGAUGAUCUCAGUCUGGAAUAAACAUUCUUGCGAAACUGACCAGGAAUUUUGCCAAGCAUAACUGGAACGUGGACAUGGUGGUGAGUUACCUUGGACCAUGCAGAUGAAGACAACGAUAAAAGGAGCCAGGGAACCUGAUGACUCUGUUGGAGUGAGCAAGACUGAAGCCAUUUUGGGACCUAAAAAUCACAUGGGCUCUAAAAGAUUUUUAAAAGACAGUUUUUGUCUUAGCAUUUAUCUCUCUGAGUUCCCUCUUUUCCCAUGGUUAUUUGAUAUUUUGACCCUUGGUUAUGGGGCAGGAUGACAUUAUUUACAUGAAUGUAAAGUGUUUUCCAGUCAGCCUGAAGCUGCAGACUUGCAUGUGCCACCCUGACCCUGAGAUAACAGCAAAGAUGAGAGCAGAAACCAGACGAGAUCUUGGUAAGAUCUUGUACCUGAAUCAUAGACAUGGAUGCCUCAUAGUUCACGUGCCCCUCUCUUCUGCUUUUCAUUUUCUCAUGUUCCAUUCCUUCAGCCCCCUCUUAACCCCCCCCCCCCAACCCCCCCAGUAAACCUGAAUCUCUGAGAUGGUUUUAGUCUGGCCAUUCUUCAGGUUUACUGGAGAGAUGGGUUAGGCUAGCAUCUUUCCUCAGGUCACUGGUAUUCCUAAAUAAAAGCUGACUUACAUUUUCACCAA